rnacentral:rRNA from 1 species
UAUUUUGACUAUACAAAGGUAUUGUAAUAAGGCUUUAAUUGGGUGCUAAAAGAAUGAAAUUACAAAAAAAGACUUUCUUAAUUUUAAUAAUUAAAAUUAUUUUUUUUUGUGAAGAAACAAAAAUAAAAAUUAAAGACAAGAAGACCCUAAGAAUUUUCUUUUUUACUUAAUAUAAAAUAUUUUAUUUAAAAAUUUAAUUGGGGCGAUUAAUGAAUAUUAAUAACUUUAUAAAGAAAUAAAAUGAUCCAUUAUUAAUGAUUGUUUGAUUAAAAUACUCUAGGGAUAACAGCGUUAUAAUUUUUGAUAGUUCUUAUAGAAAAAAUAGUUUGCGACCUCGAUGUUGGAUUAGGAUUCUUUUUUAAUGAAGAAGUUAAAAAAAGAAGUUUGUUCAACUUUUAAUUUCCUACUUGAUCUGAGU